AUGCUUCAGCCGUGGAGGCUGACCAUGCACUACCGGGGCCGGGGCUGGGGCCCUGUUCCCGGCCGCCCGGCCCGCCCCUGCAGCCAGCCCCGCCCGGAGGGGCGGACGCAGGACAAGGAUGCGCACGGUGCCGUGUCUCAGAGGCUGACCUACUGUUCCCGAGCACCACGUUUUGCCACCAGCGGCGAAGACAGGGAGACAGGCAGCUCGCAGCGGCUCGGGAGCAGAGGGAGCGCGUGGGGGCCUGGCCCCCGCCCAGCCGGAGCAGACCACAGACGCAGACUUAAAGUGCAACAGGCUGCGGCCCUCCACCCUCCCGAGGGUACCUUAGCGCCCAGCCCCCACGUGGAGCAGCCCGCAGCACUGCAGUGCUGGGCCAGCUCGCCCCGCUGGCCCCAGGGCCGCCCCCAUCCCUGCUCCCCAGGUGGCCCCCAGGGCUUGGGUGAAAGGACCCCAUUCUACACCACGCGUGAGCACCGGCAGCCCUCGUGUGCACACGCGCACACACCAGAAACGCACGCUUCCAAGUAGUGUUCCCAUAGCUACGUAGUGUCAGGCGCCCUCCCCCGCUCACACCGCCUGGGGAAGGGGCCCCCAGACCAGCGCCGCCCCCGCGGAGGGGCCGGAUUCUGAGGUCCGGGGUUUCUUCUUUUUUUUCCUCUUAGCGAUGGGCAGGGCUGCCCGUCUCUUCCAGUGUCCCGCCGUUCUGGGCGUCUCUUGGAGCCGGCGCGGUGGGCUGCGGGAGGGGUGGGAGGGCGCGCGCCGCCUCCGGCUCUCCUCCUGCAGGGCAGGGGCCCAGCAUGUACCUCGGGGUGGCGGGACCCCCGCCGCAGGGUUGUGCGCAGACGCGGAGGGUGGAGAGAGGGCAGGGUGGACGGGAAGUGUUCUCUUCAGGGAGGCCUCGGGUCAGGGCCAGCACCCCACCCCUCUCCGCAGAGGCGCAGGGUGCGCGGGGGAGGCCCUCACAGGGUCCAGGGUCCAGCGGCUGCGCUCACGGCCGCUGCCCAGCAGUCAGCCCCCAGGUCUGCAGCGCCGGGGCUGCGGGGGUCUUGGAGGGAGACGGGGUGGGGCCCACGCGGCCCCUGGCCCUGCCCCCAG
rnacentral:lncRNA from 1 species